rnacentral:lncRNA from 1 species
CUCAUAGCCAAAUUGGUCAUUGGCCAUUGACUUCAGUUUCUCCAGAGAGAUGAUUUGCUGAACAGCAAAAGGUUUUCACUCCUAAGGAAUUUAAAUCACAAUCCAUCUCUUUUCCUCAGGGAGGAAACAAGCAAAGGCUAAUCUUGUGACUGUGAGAGUUUAUGAUUUAUCUGAUACCAUUUGGAGCACACUGUCCUGGGCCCAGUGAUUCUUGGCAAGAUUACAAACUCUGUCUCGUGCAUCAGACUGUUUGGGUUGCAACUGUACAGACCAAAGGUUCUUUGUAUGUGUUUCCCACAUAGAACCUCCCCCAGAGUUGUUCCUUGAAAAGAUAUCGGUUAAAAAAAAAAAAAAAAAACCAAAAAAGCAAAAACAAUAAACAAAAGAGGAAUGCCUGCAGUGCCAGAAAGGUCUAGAAUUGGGAAUAAGAGCUGUUGGAAAUCUGUCCUUGAUGACCCAGGGUUCUGUCAAUACCCCAAGCCUUUUGCUUGGGAGGCAGAUUUUGAAAUAUUUCUGUUGAUUUAUUUUCACACAGAUGACUGGAAACAACUUUGAGACAACUGACCUGGCUAGGAGACCAUCGCUCUCUCUAAGAUGCCUUGACUUGGAAGGGCGCUUUGUAAGACUUGGUGAUAACCUGAUUAUUUCAGCAUUCAUUUUUCUGAAGCCUCGGGCAAUUCCUUCUCCAACAUGCAUAUUUUUUGGCAUUAGUUUAACAGGCUCAGUGAGAAAAGAGAGGCUCAGGAUACUUUGUGCUCUGUCACAACAUGUGUUAAUGGAAGGAGAAGCCCACAGUGUACAGCAAAAGAUAGAAGAGGCAACUUUGGAAAGAAAACCAAGGCAAGCUGAGUCCUUAUGACAUGGGAAAGAAGAAUGGGGAGCAGAGAAGGUGGAGAAGUGCCUGCGUGGAGCUUCCAAGAGUGUUUAAAAAGCCAACUUACAGGACCCAUUCGGAGGGAGGUUAGCGGUGAGAGUGGAGCUGAGAAUCAGAAAG